rnacentral:rRNA from 1 species
CGCCCUUAGAGUUUGAUCAUGGCUCAGAUUGAACGCUGGCGGCAGGCUUAACACAUGCAAGUCGAGCGGUAGGAGAGCUUGCUCUCUACGAGCGGCGGACGGGUGAGUAAUGUCUGGGAAACUGCCUGAUGGAGGGGGAUAACUACUGGAAACGGUAGCUAAUACCGCAUAACGUCGCAAGACCAAAGAGGUUCGUCUUGCCAUCAGAUGUGCCCAGAUGGGAUUAGCUAGUAGGUGGGGUAACGGCUCACCUAGGCGACGAUCCCUAGCUGGUCUGAGAGGAUGACCAGCCACACUGGAACUGAGACACGGUCCAGACUCCUACGGGAGGCAGCAGUGGGGAAUAUUGCACAAUGGGCGCAAGCCUGAUGCAGCCAUGCCGCGUGUAUGAAGAACGCCUUCGGGUUGUAAAGUACUUUCAGCAGGGAGGAAGGCAUUAAGGU